AUUUGAAAAAAAAUAAUUUCUACAUUUUUAAAAUAAUUAAAAAAAAAUUUACUGUUUUCAAUUUCCCCUUUUCUAAAAUAGAAAAUAUAUUUUAAAAUAAGAAUUCUUUUAUUAAAAAUAUGCAAAUUAUUAUUUUGUUUUAUUUGACCCAAAAUUGGAUCAGAGUGGCCUUAAGUUGAAAGUAAUGUCCUAAUUGAACCUGAAACGCCGAAUUGUCCUAUAUUAGCCAAGCCUACAAGUACAGGGGCCAAUUCACCUUUAUUUUGAAAUAUGGUGAAGCUAACUUGCCAAAAUCUCUGACCACAUGACUUUUCUAGCGUUCUGCUAGUUUCAGUCUUAAAGGACAUCUAUUUAGAACUUGCUUCCAAUUGAUCCUAUUUACAUAAUUUUCAGAUAAUGGCUAUUGGUGAUGG
rnacentral:misc_RNA from 1 species